AUGCUUGCUUCAUCAGCACAUCUACUAAAAGUUGGAUGAUAAAAAGAAUAUUUGCAUGGCCCCUGCGCAAGGAUGACAUGCAAAUUCUUAAAGCAUUCCUUUUUUUU